rnacentral:rRNA from 1 species
UACGGAGGGGGCUAGCGUUGUUCGGAAUUACUGGGCGUAAAGCGCGCGUAGGCGGCUUUGUAAGUUAGAGGUGAAAGCCCGGGGCUCAACCCCGGAAAUGCCUUUAAGACUGCAUCGCUUGAAUCCAGGAGAGGUGAGUGGAAUUCCGAGUGUAGAGGUGAAAUUCGUAGAUAUUCGGAAGAACACCAGUGGCGAAGGCGGCUCACUGGCCUGGUAUUGACGCUGAGGUGCGAAAGCGUGGGGAGCAAACAGG